rnacentral:sRNA from 1 species
UAGCUGGACUCUCGGUCCGGUCCCUGCCCUCUGGAGACUCAGCCAUUAAAGUUGAGGUGGGGGGAUGAGGAUGUGGGCGGCGUCCAGGUAACUCUGCGGGGCCCUGAUGCUUUCCCUAGAGCCAGCCAUCAGGAGUAACACGAUGCGCCCCCACAUCACCGAACCCAGAACCUCAGUGCUUCAGCACCCCUUCCUCGACAUGAGCUCCGCCCAAUGAGGAGAAGGGUCUUCUCCAUUGGCCGGUGGUGGUCCCCUAUCCAAUUAGAGAGGCUAACGGCCUUCUCUCGUCUGGUUUAGAAGGAAUCGCCGGGGGAAUACAGGCCAAACUACAAUUCCCGAGAGCUCCUGGGCUAUAACGAAAAGCCAAUAAAUCUACAAAUGUUUAUUGGGACAGCAGAUGAUCGAUAUUUACGACCUCAUGCAUUUUACCAGGUGCAUCGAAUCACUGGGAAGACAGUCGCUACUGCAAGCCAAGAGAUAAUAAUUGCCAGUACAAAAGUUCUGGAAAUUCCACUUCUUCCUGAAAACAAUAUGUCAGCCAGUAUUGAUUGUGCAGGUAUUUUGAAACUCCGCAAUUCAGAUAUAGAACUUCGAAAAGGAGAAACUGAUAUUGGCAGAAAGAAUACUAGAGUACGACUUGUGUUUCGUGUACACAUCCCACAGCCCAGUGGAAAAGUCCUUUCUCUGCAGAUAGCCUCUAUACCCGUUGAGUGCU